ACCAGCGCGAGGGUUUUUAAUUAAUUUAAAGAAAAAAUAUGAGCGGCUUUUUCAAUAUCUGGUUCGUCGUUAAUGUUCAGAGAAGAAAAAUGAUUUUUAAAACUUCACCCUAAAUCUCGAAACCCUUCUGUAAAUCUCGAAACCCUUUAGUAAUUUUCCUCUCUCUUAUUUCUACAAUUCGAGCUCUAAAGCAAAGCUUUACCAGAUCUACGAGGGGGCAACAUCAGAAGAAGGAUUGAAUAAAAAAAAAUAGAAGGUGAGGCUGUACAAAGGUGAAUUUUGGAGCUAUUGUCUGCCCAAAAAAGAUGAUUGGUUUCAUAGAGAUGGAGGGGAUUUUAAAAAGAAACUGACACCCCUUUAGAUCGCGGGUAGUUUCAAUUGUCCUAGACGAGCAGUGUUGGAUGAGAGGUGGUGAAACCUCUACUGCAGCAUUAACUGGCACCUUGCUGCACCAAAUCUUUCAGGCUGGGCUUUUAAUGGAGAAUCCCACAAUAGAGCCGCUUCAGGAAUUUGCAAAGAGUGUUAUUCAAAAAAGCAUUCAAGGCUUGUAUGCAUGUGAAGGAAAAGGAUAUGCGUGAAACCUUGAAUGAUACAGUUCCAAUGAUCUGCAAUUGGAUAAAAAGUUUCCGGGACCCUCAGAUUUCCAAUGCACCUACAGUUGAUAAGCUUAAUGAGCUUAUAGCAUUUAAAGAAGUGUAUCUACAACGAUUUUCAAGAGAUGGCAUUCCAAGAGAGAACAUUUCAACUAGUUAAAUUUUAUUUGUUCUUUUAGAUUGAACAAAAAUGACAUUAUCUUUUAGUCUUUUAGAAGUUAAAGACGAGGGUAUGUGAUCUUUGGUUUCACAUAACUUUAAAUUGUAUUGUCAAACAUCGUUUGAGUAAUGAAAUUUUAAUUUGUUUAUGAUUGA